rnacentral:rRNA from 1 species
UACAGAGGGUGCGAGCGUUAAUCGGAAGUACUGGGCGGAAAGCGUGCGUAGACGGUCAAGUAAGUCGGGUGUGAAAGCCCCGGGCUCAACCUGGGAAUUGCAUUCGAGACUGCGUGGCUAGGGUGCGGAAGAGGGAAGCGGAAUUUCCGGUGUAGCGGUGAAAUGCGUAGAUAUCGGAAGGAACACCAGUGGCGAAAGCGGCUUCCUGGUCCAGCACCGACGUUCAGGCACGAAAGCGUGGGGAGCAAACAGG